rnacentral:rRNA from 1 species
GAUGAACGCUGGCGGCGUGCCUAAUACAUGCAAGUCGAGCGAACAGACGAGGAGCUUGCUCCUCUGACGUUAGCGGCGGACGGGUGAGUAACAAGUGGAUAACCUACCUAUAAGACUGGGAUAACUUCGGGAAACCGGAGCUAAUACUGGAUAAUAUAUUGAACCGCAUGGUUCAAUAGUGAAAGGCGGUUUUGCUGUCACUUAUAGACGGAUCCGCGCCGCAUUAGCUAGUUGGUAAGGUAACGGCUUACCAAGGCAACGAUGCGUAGCCGACCUGAGAGGGUGAUCGGCCACACUGGAACUGAGACACGGUCCAGACUCCUACGGGAGGCAGCAGUAGGGAAUCUUCCGCAAUGGGCGAAAGCCUGACGGAGCAACGCCGCGUGAAUGAUGAAGGUCUUCGGAUCGUAAAACUCUGUUAUUAGGGAAGAAAAAAUGUGUAAGUAACUAUGCACGUCUUGACGGUACCUAAUCAGAAAGCCACGGCUAACUACGUG